CCUUAUCCAAUUAUUUUUUGUUUUGAAUCUUGUCUGAAGUAGAAGGGUUUGGGAUUUUUGUUAUACAAUGGAGUCUUUUCCAAGGCAGUAACCCCCUUGACAAGAAUAAGGAUAGCAGUUUGGUGAUGUCUUGUUUACUUAAGCAUGGCAAGGUAAAGCCAGAGACAUCAAACAGGCUGAGAAGGAAGUUGCAACUUGAUAAGGCCUUAACACUUGCUAGCAAAAUAUAAUGCAUACAGGACUGUAACAGCCAUCUUAGUCAUUGCAUGUUACAGCCCUAUUUAGUGGCAUUCAGAUUAGUGCUCUGCUAUGCUGAUCCCUCCAAAUUCUUCACCUCUCCCUGCAAAUGUGAUGCUGAUGCUGAGCUCUUUACAGGCACCUGUUAAUGAAUCCUGGCAAUACAUGUUCAAGCAGGCAAGAAAGGGGGUUCCCAAUUUGCAGAUGAGGAAACAGAGGCACAGCAAAGUGUGAAGAUGAAGUCUUUUGUCCUUACUCUUAUCCUUUUACCACACGGGUAGUACAUCAUUCCAUGAGGCUUAAAUGUGGCUUUCGAAGGAGCAAGACACUGCUCAGCAUAAUUAAGGGUGGCAAAACUCUGGCUUUCCCUGUCUUGCUCAAUACCAUACUCCAAGUCCCUGGCAAGUGGGAUUAUCAGUCAGGAAUGCUUACUUCCCCAUCUUAUUAUCAGGCCUUUUUUCCUGAAGAAAUUUCCUGUCUUUUCUCUAGUUUCUAAUGACCAGGAAGGCAAUUCCCUAAAUGCAAUUAGCUGCUAUCUUGCUAUCUACCUACAGGUUUUGCAGAGGGCUCAUCAUUGUCAUUUCUAAGCAUUUAUAUCUCUCCUUUCACUUCUACAUCUCUGUCUCCCAUCAAAGUCUUCCAGACUUUUUGAGCUAUUUAUACUGCCUGGUUGCCAGUCAGAACUGCAGGAGCAGAGGUUGUUCAUAUCUGGCCACGCCUGAAAGACAGCGGUUAAGAGGCAGAGGCAGAGCAGGCUGACCACUGGAGCUAGUUGGUUGUGCAGGAACCAAGUAUGCAGCAACUUUUAAAGGACAGUAGCAAAUGACUUCCUCCACUGCUGUCUGUGCAACCAGGGAGCUCUGGAGUUGUGCCUCUGAAACAGAAUAGGUCUGGUGCUGCCCCAAAAGGGCAAGCACUGCGCCUCACUAAGGCUGUGGCUAACUGCCAUAUUCUAGUCCUUUAACAUCAUAGGGAUUGGGAGAAUGCCUGCAGACCUGGAGCUUCCACCAGACUGACAGUCCUUUUUUAUUCUGGAGAGGAUGGAUUCACUGCCUCCCAGCUAACCAAAUAUUUUGUGCAAUACAGAGCAUUCAAGCUUCUUUGAAAGAAACUACCAUCAAUAGAAAAAUCCAAGGCUGAAAGGAUCAGCCUAUGGAAGAAAAGAAUAGCAUGAGAGAGGACUUCUGUAUUUAAUGACGGAUAUUACUCCAGAAGGCUAUCCCAAAGUAAUCCUGAUGGACACAAGCAGUAAGCUUUCAGCACACUAAAUACUGUAUAAAAUAAUUUGAACCCAACUGUAUCCCAGAAACUGGUAAAAAGUCCUGACAGCCCUGGCUUUUAAGCAGGGUAGAAUUGCCAACUCGAAUAAUUUUAUUGGGAGUCUCAUAACAUUUGUUUGGUUCUUUCUUUCCCCUCUUAUUUCCAGUUCCUUGAGUUAUGUUGUUAUACCAGAAUCUCAGCUUUCAUUUAAAAACAGCACAUCUUGAAAGUUCACGGUCGCAAAGAGAAACUUGGAAACAUAAACCCAAGGGGCUUUAAAACUAGGAGGCAACUACAAUCAGAACCAAAUCAAUUUAUUUUCAAAUGUUGGCAUUUUAAAGAAAGGCUUAUGAAUUUUGGAGCCUGAUACAUGAACUUGAAAACUUGCUGUUUGCCAUAGUAUAGGUACAGAUAUUUUCUGACUACACAAUAGUUUUUAAGGGGAGGAGAUCACUGUGAUAUAACAAUGUACCUUGCCUCACUUCUAUUUGUAAGUUAGACUGGACCUACAUGUUUUUACCAAGCAGAAAUGCAGGCAAUCCACUCAAAACAGUUUCAACUAACAGAAGCACAUACAGAACCAACAUUACAUGUACAAGCAUGUACAAUUCUGAAAGGUUUGUGAGUAGUAAAAAAAAUGAGAUGGAACAAGGUACCAGGCUGACUUAGAACUGCAACACACAGGGCAAAAUGAGCAAACAAAAACCAGCUGCAGUUAAAUCAAAGAAAAGCAAAUAUCAUCUAUGUAAUGUAGGUAUAGUGCAGGUUUAAUGUGCAGUUUUCUAGACAUUUUUCCUCUAGGUGGCUUAUGAAGAGGCUGGCAUGUUUUGGUGUAAGGUCCUCCCCAAAUUCUUUAUGGUAUUUUGUGUUAGUGAGUUGUCUGUCAGCUUCACUGAUGUAGUCUUGACAGUUGAGGACAACUAUAGCUCCACCUUUGUUCACUGGUUUGAUUACUAUUUCGUAAUUUCUAGAAAACUGCACCAUCAAACCUGCAUUAUACAUCACAAAGAUGAUAUUUUCAUUAUCUGGACUGAAUACCUGGACUCAUUUACUGACUUCCACCACAAGUUUAACUAGUAUAACCCCCUGAUCAAACUUUCUCUGGACUUACUCCUACACUUUUGUUGAUGUUCUAGAUACCACAGUCCGUAUUCAGGAUGACAUCCUAAAAAUCACUACAUACAGAAAACCCACAGAUCACCAUACCUAUGUCCACAAGAUCAGCAAUCAUCCCAAGCACACCAAAAAAGCUGUUUUCUGCAGCUGGGUCCUCAUAUACCACCUCAACUUUUCUGAGAACAUUCUUGAUGCCCACCUGACCAGUCUAAAAUCUGCCUUUAUACAUACAACAGGGAUACUCUAUUAGGCAAAUAGAUGGCACAUUUGAAAGAGCUAUCCAAAUAUGCUGUAGUAACCUGCUACAGUACAAAAAGAAAACUUCCUGCAACUGCACAUCCCUGGUGGUCCCCUACCAACCCACACUGGAACAUAUCGGAAGAACCAUCAGAAAAAACAUCCUACAUGCAACAAAGAUCAGACCUUGGGAGAAGUAUUCCCAGCUCCUCCGUUCAUGGCUUUGAAGUAGCCCCCUAACCUUGCCCUACUCAUCAUCAGAAGCAAACUCCCCAUUGCCCAACAGACAUCAAGUGAAGCACAGCCUUGUCUUGGCAAGGAAUACUUAACUUGUCAGCACACUUCCACUGCCACUACUAUCAAAACCCCUCCACCAGAAACCCAUCAGAAACCAUGGUUCCUACACAUGCCAUUCCCAAAACAUGAUACAUCUGAUCCAGUGCACCAAGUGCCCUCAUGGCAACUAUGUAGGUGAAACUAAACAGCAACUAUGCACCGGAAUGAACACGCACAGAAAAAAAUAUAAAGGAUGGAGACAUACAUACCAUAAGGAGCACAUACCUCACAUAACAACCACUCCCUCUCUGACCUCAUUAGUCUUGUGCUCAAGGGAAAUCUACCUAAUAUCUUUAAAUGGUGAACUUGGAAACAAAAAUUCGUAAGCUGGCUGGACAGUAAGAACCAAGGACUAAACGCUGAUAUUGGGUUUAUGGCACAUUAUAAUUUAUCCAACUCCUGAAUUCUUCUACACAGGGAAAGUAAGAAUGACCCUCCUCCAUUUUUAUAGCACUUGAUCUCCCAGUAAUCAGCUUCAUUUCUUCUGUUAAUUGUGUGUCUGCUAUCCUUGAGAUUUCUCCCAGUCCCUUCCCUCUGCUGUACCUGGCUUUCUGUGAUGAGACUUGAUGAAGAUGUCUUGCGUUCAAUAGCUUGUCCAACUUUAUCCCAACUUCAUAGUUGGCCCAAUAAAAGAUAUCA